AAUCUGCAUUAGAUUCUUGGGGAUCUGAUCUGAUUCAGUGACUGGAUUCUGUGUCACUGGGCACGCGAUUCUCUGAGAUACAAAUUGCAUUGUGUGUGAUCUGCCCCCUAAUCUCUUCUAUCGCUAUGGGAUUCUGUGGGAUCAGCCAGGAAUCUGGGAUUAACUGGGAUCUGUGAGGCUUUAUUCAUUGGUGGAGCACUCUGGGAUCAGCACUGAAUCUGCACACAAUUUGGACUGGAUCUUGUUAGCGGAUUUAGUACUUUCUGGAUUGGAUUUAUUAUCUUCCCAUUCAGUUGCACAGUGUGUGGGUAGGAAGGUGGGGAGGAGACGCUGCCGGAGACCCCUCGGCUCAGGGAACAUCAAGUCUAAACAUGAGGCUCAGUCUCACUCUAUUUGUGCUGCUUCUUCUCACAUGUUAUGGCUCCCAGUCUGUGCCGGAGCAGCCGCCCCGUAAUGCCGGGCCCUCAGUACCUGGCCCACAUCAACCAGAACCAGGGAAAUCUACUGUUCUGUCUGGGAUCCGGCCGCCAACUCCUGGGCUAGGAUUUAAUCGUGGGGCCCAGCCACUCACUGCAACUGAACAUGGCAACCAACCAAACUCAGGGGUAGCCCAGCAGGGCACAGGGGACCUGCCCCACGGAACUGUGGGUAAUCCUGCUCUGAAAACUGCAAAGCCUCUAGGAGUCCAGACCUCGGGUGGCAAGGCUGAUUCCAGCAGCUCCCCAAAUUCAGUUGCAGAUGUGGAUGAAUGUGCGGGUCCAGAGCCCCCCUGCGGGUUAUACUCCAACUGCACCAACACUGUGGGUUCCUACCUGUGCCGCUGCCUCCGGGGCUUCCUUAGAGGUCCAAAUGGGUGUGAGGACGUAGAUGAGUGCCAGUUGGCGGAGGCAACCGGCCUGCAGGCUUGCCCCCCACACUCCUCAUGCAGAAACACCCUGGGCUCAUUCGCUUGCUCCUGUGAUCCGGGCUUUGUAUUCGGACUGGAUGGGAAGCGCUGUGUCGAUAUCGAUGAGUGCGCCUUCGAGGAGAAAUGUCGCCGUGAGUUGGGGAACCUGUGUGUCAAUACAGAGGGGAGCUAUCGCUGCCGCUGCCAGGCCGGAUUUCGGGAGACAGGACAGGCCUGUGUAGAUAUAGAUGAAUGUGCAGAGAAUCCGUCUCUCUGCUCCGGCCUAGGGGUCUGUGAGAACUCGUUGGGGAGCUAUGUCUGCGGGUGUCAGCCGGGCUUCCGAGGAAACGGAACUUACUGUGAAGAUGAGAAUGAAUGCGCGUCGGGGGGACACGGCUGUGACUCCAACGCCCACUGUGGAAAUAUCAUUGGAUCCUACUUCUGCCAGUGUUACCAGGGGUUUAAUGGAGAUGGGCACAGCUGCUUUGACAUCGACGAGUGCUCGGUGAAUAACGGCGAUUGCCCCCAUUCGUGUGUGAAUCAGGCGGGCAGCUAUAGGUGCCAGUGCCGCCCGGGGUACCUACUGCAGGAAGAUGCCAAGAACUGCACCGAUAUCGAUGAGUGUGAGACAGCCAAUGGGGAAUGUGCCCAAAUUUGCGAGAAUACGGACGGCUCGUACGGUUGCUCGUGCCGCAAAGGGUUCCAGCUCCAUGUGGACCUCAAACAAUGUAUCGAUAUUGAUGAGUGUAAGAUUGACAAUGGCGGCUGCGCUCACACGUGCAACAACACGGAGGGAGGGUUCCUGUGCCUGUGCCCCCCGCACCAAGCGCUGGCCAAGGACUCCAGGACCUGCAUUAAUAUCACGUCGUGCAGUACGAGGAACGGCGGUUGUGACCACGUGUGUAGCCAGAAGCAGGAGGGGGGCUUCGAAUGCAGCUGUCGGGCCGGUUGGCUGCUCAGCAGUAAUGGAAGGACCUGUGAAGAUGUUGAUGAAUGCGCCGAUUUCACUCGCGGGGGGUGCGAACAGCAAUGUGAGAACCUGCCCGGAACGUUCCACUGCAGCUGCACCAAAGGCUUCACCCUGCGCUCCGACGAGCCCACCAAGUGCCAACCGGUGUGUAACCCCCCGUGUCAAAACUAUGGGGUGUGUGUGGCUCCUGAUACCUGUGACUGUCCUGCUGGAUACCCCGGACCUGGUUGUUCAGCCACAUGCUCGCCACCCUGUGCCCACGGAGGAACCUGUAUGAGACACAACAUGUGCCAGUGCCCGACUGGAUGGACAGGACCAGGCUGCCAGGCAGCGGUGUGUGAGCUGCCCUGUGCCAAUGGGGGGCGCUGUGUGGCCCCCGACAGCUGCCAGUGCACAUUUGGAUACAGCGGGGAGCAGUGUCUGACACCGCUGUGCUCGCCCCCCUGUCUCAAUGGAGGAAAGUGCAUCGAUGUGAACAAGUGUGUGUGCCCGGCCGGUUGGCUCGGGGCCCGGUGCCAGAUCGAACCAGUCCGAUGUGAGAAGGAGUGUCUCAAUGGGGGCAAGUGUGUGGGGUACAACUCCUGCCGCUGCCCCGCCGGCUUCCUGGGGCCACAGUGCCAGACAGCUGUCAUUGAGCCUUGCGUCCCACCCUGCAAACAUGGAGCCACCUGUGUGCAGUUCAAUAAGUGCCAGUGUGCGGAGGGGACCGCCGGGCAUCGCUGUGAGAAGCUGACCUGCCCUAUUGUGACCACCAAGCUGAGCACGGCGCGAGCCAUCCGGCAGGGAGUACGGGAGAGCUACGUGGAGCGCUGUGGCCCCCUGGGAGUGCAGCUUUGUACCAAAUACAGAACCGCCCCUCCAAUGACAUCACAAUAGAGGCGGGGGUGCCGAAAGCCACAACCUGGUCUCGGGCAAGGAGAGCUUGUGGAAGAGCUCAACCCGAUCUGCCAAUGCUGUACCCGGCCCGUCCAUCAGUACUGCAGAGCCUGUAUAAGGACUUGUCUUCCUGAGGCACUUACUCUAUCAGCCUGAUAAGAUCUGCAGAUGUCACUAAGUAGGAACCAGGUGGUUACCAGCCCCUGGCUAGGAACCAACCAGGUGCGGGUGUACGUCCAGGCGUACGUGGUCGGCUACAGAAUCCAGUGCCCCCCCAAACACAGGCAGUAGAGCUGAAUAUAUUCCGCAACAUCUGGGUCGGUUCUGCAGAACAUCGUCUCUUUGGCUCCUCCCAGAGGUCCCACAUUAAUGGCUGAACCAAUGUACUGUGCUCUUAUAUCAACACAAUGACUCAACGUCUGGGGGCCACUGGGCCCCUGGGAACCGCUCCAGUCAGCCCCUUAAUGUCUCUACCUUUGUUACUAUCAUUUCUCAAUAAAUCUGUUUUUUAAAUAAUG